UGAAUUGCUGCUCGUGAUAGUGGCGCUUUUGCAUGGGAGAUCGUUCCGGUUGAAGUUCCUGUUGGCAGAGGAAAACCACCGGUACUUGUUGAAAAAGACGAGAGCCUAGACAGGUUUGACCCAGCGAAACUGAGGAAGCUCCGCCCAAGUUUCAAGGAGAACACUGGUAC